rnacentral:rRNA from 1 species
GAUGAACGCUGGCGGCGUGCCUAAUACAUGCAAGUCGAGCGAACAGACGAGGAGCUUGCUCCUCUGACGUUAGCGGCGGACGGGUGAGUAACACGUGGAUAACCUACCUAUAAGACUGGGAUAACUUCGGGAAACCGGAGCUAAUACCGGAUAAUAUAUUGAACCGCAUGGUUCAAUAGUGAAAGACGGUUUUGCUGUCACUUAUAGAUGGAUCCGCGCCGCAUUAGCUAGUUGGUAAGGUAACGGCUUACCAAGGCGACGAUGCGUAGCCGACCUGAGGGGGUGAUCGGCCACACUGGAACUGAGACACGGUCCAGACUCCUACGGGAGGCAGCAGUAGGGAAUCUUCCGCAAAGGGCGAAAGCCUGACGGAGCAACGCCGCGUGAGUGAUGAAGGUCUUCGGAUCGUAAAACUCUGUUAUUAGGGAAGAACAAAUGUGUAAGUAACUAUGCACGUCUUGACGGUACCUAAUCAGAAAGCCACGGCUAACUACGUG